CUGUUGGGUAGGGGAGCGUUGUGUAAGCGGAAGAAGGUUCAUCGAGAGGUGGGCUGGACGUAUCACAAGUGCGAAUGCUGACAUAAGUAACGAUAAAACGGGUGAAAAACCCGUUCGCCGGAAGACCAAGGGUUCCUGUCCAACGUUAAUCGGGGCAGGGUGAGUCGGCUCCUAAGGCGAGGCUGAAAAGCGUAGUCGAUGG
rnacentral:rRNA from 1 species